UACGAAGGGGGCUAGCGUUGCUCGGAAUUACUGGGCGUAAAGGGCGCGUAGGCGGCACUGUUAGUCAGGCGUGAAAGUCCUGGGCUCAACCUGGGAACUGCGCUUGAUACGGCAGAGCUAGAGGAUGGAAGAGGCUCGCGGAAAUUCCCGAGUGUAGAGGUGAAAGUUCGUAGAUAUCAGGAGGAACACCUAUUGCGAAGGCAGCUCGCUGGGACGUAAACUGGACGCUGGAGGCGCGAAAGCGUGGGGAGCAAACAGG
rnacentral:rRNA from 1 species